rnacentral:tRNA from 1 species
GGGGCUAUCGUCUAGGGGUCCAGGACGCGUGGUUCUCAGCCAUGAAACCGGGGUUCGAAUCCCCGUAGCCCUGCCA